rnacentral:rRNA from 1 species
UGGGGAAUAUUGGACAAUGGGCGCAAGCCUGAUCCAGCCAUGCCGCGUGAGUGACGAAGGCCUUAGGGUUGUAAAGCUCUUUUGGCGGGGACGAUAAUGACGGUACCCGCAGAAUAAGCCCCGGCUAACUACGUGCCAGCAGCCGCGGUAAUACGUAGGGACCAAGCGUUGUUCGGAUUUACUGGGCGUAAAGGGCGCGUAGGCGGCAUGACAAGUCACUUGUGAAAUCUCUGGGCUUAACCCAGAACGGCCAAGUGAUACUGUCGCGCUAGAGUGCAGAAGGGGCAAUCGGAAUUCUUGGUGUAGCGGUGAAAUGCGUAGAUAUCAAGAGGAACACCUGAGGUGAAGACGGGUUGCUGGGCUGACACUGACGCUGAGGCGCGAAAGCCAGGGGAGCAAACGGGAUUAGAUACCCGAGUAGUCCCUGAGCGGGCUGGCAAGGCGCAU